GUAGGGAAUAUUGGGCAAUGGAGGCAACUCUGACCCAGCCAUGCCGCGUGCAGGAAGACGGUCCUCUGGAUUGUAAACUGCUUUUGAAUGGGAAGAAACGCACUUUUGCGAAAGUGUUUGACGGUACUAUUAGAAUAAGCACCGGCUAACUCCGUGCCAGCAGCCGCGGUAAUACGGAGGUUGCAAGCGUUAUCCGGAUUUAUUGGGUUUAAAGGGUGCGUAGGCGGCUUAUUAAGUCUGGGGUUAAAGGCGGCAGCUUAACUGUACGCAUGCCCUGGAAACUGUUGAGCUUGAGUGACCUGGAGGUAGCUGGAAUUCCCUGUGUAGCGGUGAAAUGCAUAGAUACGGGGAGGAAUACCGAUUGCGAAGGCAUGUUACUACGGGUAGACUGACGCUGAUGCGCGAUAGCGUGGAGAUCAAACAGGAUUAGAAACCCGUGUAGUCC
rnacentral:rRNA from 1 species